GAUGAACGCUGGCGGCGUGCCUAAUACAUGCAAGUCGAGCGAACAGACGAGGAGCUUGCUCCUCUGACGUUGGCGGCGGACGGGUGAGUAACACGUGGAUAACCUACCUAUAAGACUGGGAUAACUUCGGGAAACCGGAGCUAAUACCGGAUAAUAUAUUGAACCGCAUGGUUCAAUAGUGAAAGACGGUUUUGCUGUCACUUAUAGAUGGAUCCGCGCCGCAUUAGCUAGUUGGUAAGGUAACGGCUUACCAAGGCAACGAUGCGUAGCCGACCUGAGAGGGUGAUCGGCCACACUGGAACUGAGACACGGUCCAGACUCCUACGGGAGGCAGCAGUAGGGAAUCGUACGCAAUGGGCGAAAGCUUGACGGAGCAACGCCGCGUGAGUGAUGAAGGUCUUCGGAUCGUAAAACUCUGUUAUUAGGGAAGAACAAAUGUGUAAGGAACUAUGCACGUCUUGACGGUACCUAAUCAGAAAGCCACGGCUAACUACGUG
rnacentral:rRNA from 1 species